UACGGAGGGGGCAAGCGUUGUUCGGAAUUAUUGGGCGUAAAGCGUAUGUAGGCGGCUAGGUAAGUCAGGCGUGCAAGCCCGUGGCUCAACCACGGAAUUGCGUUUGAUACUGCUUAGCUUGAGUACAGGAGAGGAAAGCGGAAUUCCCAGUGUAGCGGUGAAAUGCAUUGAUAUUGGGAAGAACAUCUGUGGCGAAGGCAGCUUUCUGGACCAAUACUGACGCUGAGGUACGAAAGCGUGGGUAGCAAACAGG
rnacentral:rRNA from 1 species